AUUGGAUCGAUGAUGUUCAUUAUGAACUGCGUUAUCUAUCUGAAACUUCCUUAUUGGAAUUGAAGAAGUCUAUAAACACAUUCUGAGAUCUUGU
rnacentral:snoRNA from 9 species